rnacentral:lncRNA from 1 species
GACAUUACUGAGAGACCUAUAAAAACGCCCGUGAAACUAGGAGUAAACAAUGACAGUGGUUGAAGUGGAUGAAGGUGGUCGACUGUCGCUGGGAGAGAGUAAGCUCUAGGACAAAACAAGAAGCAAUCAUGGGAGGAGCUAAUAUAAAACCAGAGUUUACUUCGCAGCUGCAGGACAAGAGAGUGAAAAGAGACGAGGACAUUGUGUUCAAGUGUAAUGCCAACAACCUUGAGGACGUAAAUGUCGUAUGGGAAAAGGAUGGACAGAGGUUGUAUGACGGAGACGGUAUCAGCAUCAGCCAGAGUCGGACAGAAUUAAGUCUGAGGAUCAGCAAGGCCAAAGAAAAAGAUGAGGGCAAAUACACCAUAAGGCUCAGCAAAGCUUCAGAAAGUGUCUCACACACAGUUAAAGUCACUGUUCUUGGUACGUUGUGAUGAAAGUCUCUACAUUUGCUUUUAAUACAUAGCUAUAUCAUAGUGUAAUAUGUUUAUACUUCAAACCUCUCUUAAGUUCUGUAUGAGUAUAUGAGGGUUGCCACCUUAUAUGUGGAGAAAUAAGGUAGUAGACUAUAUGGUAAGUAGAGUAUAACUAGAGUAUACAGUCCUACUAGACUGACUUUGUGUGUGUUACAGAGUUGGACCAGGAUUGGCGGUCCAUAGGAUGGGGGUAAAUACCAGUUUCUUUCAGUUAGUUUCCUUUUCUCAUUUGUGUUUGCUAGUUUCCUUAUACAUGACAUACUAACCCAUUAGUACUGAGUGCUGAAUACUGAAUACUGAAUAUAACGGAAGUGAUCAGGAAUAUUCGUCACAAACCAGAUGCCAUAUCAUAUUUGAUAGAGCAGUGCUCUUUGCUUGCACAAAAUACAACCUCAGCUCUGUAGAGAAGUUAGAGAGAGAUUUGAGAAUACAGAUUAUGCUG